GUGGUCAUUAUUAGUCUAAUUUUGAUGUAUCAUACUGUUUAGAACUUUUACUCAAAACUGCUAUACGUUAUUGUUUAAAACGUGUCGUAUAUUCGUACAAAUUCAGAUAAUCUUACCUCGGACAAAAUGGAGAUCAUCCACUGCUGAAGCGUGUGUGUCCUGUACGUGGCACAACAGACUACAGGUGGAAGUGUAGAAUGAUUGAAAUGAAAAUGCUUUCAUUAGUUAAAUCUAUUAGAUUUCUUCAUUUUUCACGCUACUCAUACAUUUUUGUUAAAUCUGCUCAAAAAACUAUUGCUUAAUUUACCCCAAACAAAAUUGUGUAAAUUUAAAUAAAUGAACAUCUCAAAAAUGUUUAAUUUUGCUUAGAUUUAAUUAAAACAACACAUACAUGUUUUUACUGAUUAAUAGUUACUAUUACUUUCCUAUUAGAUACUAAUUAACCCAAAUCACAGUUUUUACAGUGUAUAGCACUUUGUCAACCUGUGUUGUGUUUAAAUGUGCUUAUAAAUAAAUUGAUCGAUUGAUAGAUGUGUUGUAUUCUCUGAGGAGUAUUUAAAAGACAAGGGGGGAAAAAUCGUGAUUUUGGCUUCAUCUCUCAUGUUUCUCGGUUAUUUUUAAGCAUCUCUGUAUUUGUCUGCUUCUCUGUCUCUUUCUUUAUCAACCAGUUUCCCUCCACCUCACACCUUCCUGUCCUCCCGUCUCUCCCCUCCACCUACAACAACUGCGGUUUCCAGGUGUUGUUCAAUAAUACUUCAAUAAAGACUAAUAAAGCAAAACAAGGAUGAGAAUGUUCCCGUGUCCUUGAGGUCAGUGCUCGAGUCAGAGCAAAAAUCAAUCUGUAGCAGCUUUAACUUGAGAUACUCCAAUGCUGUUGUACGACUGAUGGCAGAUUCAUUAGGAGCAUAGGUGCAGGCGAUUAAGUCAUAAAAUGGUGAAAUGCUGAAAAUUUACAGUUAGAACCAAUCAUAUCAAGUCAGGCUGAAUUAUCAUCACUGUGACCUUACCAGCAAAAAAAAAAAAAAAAAAGUAACCACGGGUGAGAUGAUUAAGCUGAGGAACAUACAGUGGGGCAAAAAAGUAUUUAGUCAGCCACCGAUUGUGCAAGUUCCCCCACUUAAAAUGAUGACAGAGGUCAGUAAUUUGCACCAGAGGUACACUUCAACUGUGAGAGACAGAAUGUGAAAAAAAAAAUCCAUGAAUUCACAUGGUAGGAUUUGUAAAGAAUUUAUUCGUAAAUCAGGGUGGAAAAUAAGUAUUUGGUCACCUCAAACAAGGAAAAUCUCUGGCUCUCACAGACCUGUAACGUCUUCUGUAAGAAGCUUUUCUGUCCCCCACUCGUUACCUGUAUGAAUGGCACCUGUUUGAACUCAUCAUCUGUAUAAAAGACACCUGUCCACAGCCUCAAACAGUCAGACUCCAAACUCCGCCAUGGCCAAGACCAAAGAGCUUUCGAAGGACACCAGGAAAAGUAUUGUAGACCUGCACCAGACUGGGAAGAGUGAAUCUACAAUAGGCAAGCAGCUUGGUGUGAAAAAAUCAACUGUGGGAGCAAUCAUCAGAAAAUGGAAGACAUACAAGAC
ensembl:lncRNA